rnacentral:pre_miRNA from 10 species
CCAGGUUGAGGUAGUGGGUUGUAUAGUUCAGAAUCACAUCAAGGGAGAUAACUGUACAGCCUCCUAGCUUGCCUUG